rnacentral:rRNA from 1 species
UUGCUUCAAAUAAGGUUUUSUARUAAAUUAUGUUUUUAUCAGAUAUGACAGAAUCUUUUUUAAAAUCUCUUCAAUAUGCUUUUAUUGCUUCUGAGAGGUUUUGUUACUUUGAGUAAAAUUAAGUGUUCAUAACAGACGGGUAGUCAUGAUUGAGUUCAUUGUGU